UGGGCUGGGUUUUCUCGAUUUUGGGCUCUUGAUUCCAAUUUAAACGAAAAAAGUCCAAACUACUUGGAUUCUGAUAUUGCUUCGUCUUUCUGGGCCUCCAGCGUUGGGUUGGGUGUGCAGAAUUUUGGCCCAAACACCUUUUAAAGUUAAUACAAGUCUGAAUUGAAUACACCUAGACUUGUAGAAACUCUUUUAAAGUUCGUAUAAAUCCAAAUUGAAUACAACCGAAUUUUUAAAAUCUUUUUAAACUCUCUAGAAUCCUAAUUGAAUCCCCUAAAGCAACGGAGCAUUAUCGAAGGUCAAGCAAUGCUGUUACAUAUUCGAAAUACAAAAAUCUAUACAAUAAUCCCUUGAGUGAAAAAUUGAUUAGAUGGAGAAAAAAAAUCACCGAAAAUUUCCGAUUGAUGAUGUAGAGUUGGUUGAGAGAAGAGAUGGAGUGGGAGGAUGGAAGACUGGAAUGGAGCUUGUUGCUAAAAGAGAAAUUGGGAAGAAGCACUUUGAGAAGCAAAAACUGUGGUGAGGCUUAAAAUUUCUAAAUGCAAUCUCAAACGCACCACUCUCCAACUUAACCUCUAUCGUUGUCCACCAUCUCAACCUUUCUCUUCCUCGAUUUCAAGCUUCUCUGUCUCUC
rnacentral:lncRNA from 1 species